GCCUGGGUGGUUCAGUUGGUUAAGCAUCUGACUCUUGGUUUUGGCUCAGGUUGUGACCUCACGGUUUGUGGGUUCGAGCCCCACCUUGGGCU
rnacentral:tRNA from 1 species